GGCAUUCUGGGAGAGCACAGUAAUACACAAAUGUAUGAAAUACUGUAUAUUGCGUGCAUUGCACCCAUACAGGGAUCCGAUUUCUUCAUGACAUCAUCACUGAUAUAAGUUACUGAAAAAGUGGACAGAGAUAAAGUGUUCUACCUUAUUCCUUUUACACCUGUCUUAUCUACUGUGCUGGACGUGUUGUACAAAGGACAAGUUGGCACAGAGCCAUAAAAAAAAGUUCAACUUUGUGUGAACGUGUGUGAAAAUGUGUCCAAACUUUUGACUCGCACCAAAAGUUUGGACACAUCUUCAAGGGAAAAUGUGUCCAAACUUUUGACUCGCACCAAAAGUUUGGACACAUCUUCAAGGGAAAAUGUGUCCAAACCUUUGACUGGUACUGUAUAUCUUUAUCAAACUUGCCCUUGCCUUUAUCUGUUCGCCCUCCCCCUCAGG